UGCAAAAGUACUAGGGCAUGCACAAUACAAAAGUUAGGGAUUCAACAUGUAAACAACGACUAUGAAAGAUGACACGGCAUAAAAGGAAUAAAUAGAAUUAGCAAUGAUAACCCGAUCAGCAAACCUCAAAUGUCAUUAACAUGUGAUACAAGGGAAAGAGCCAGCUACUUUUUCCAUGUGAUACACGAGAACAUUCCUAGUAUGAGCAAAAAAAAAAAAAAACUCACUGGGAACAAGAGAGAGCCAUAGUUGAAGGGCAGGAGAGGUUGAUUGACGCCAUUUUUUUAUCUCCCUAAAACCUCGAACGAACUUGGAAUUCGGGGCACUAUGAAUUUCUAAACCCGAUGCGCAUCAAUUGCGGGAUUGAAGUCUGCACAAAUCUACAUAUAUUUAUAGCCCCCCGAUGGAGGAGGAAGCAAAUUUGAAGACCAAGGAAGAAACUGUGAAGCUGCGGCGUAUCGUUUGUUGGAGCGGGCGUCACCUGCGGGUGAUUUAAGUUGGGUCCCGGCAAAAACCAACUGGGUCCCUGAAACCGUUAUUUUAAGGG
rnacentral:lncRNA from 1 species